UACGGAGGAUGCAAGCGUUAUCCGGAUUUAUUGGGUUUAAAGGGUGCGCAGGUUGUUUGAUAAGUCAGUGGUGAAAGUCUGUCGCUUAACGGUAGGAUUGCCAUUGAUACUGUUAGACUUGAAUAUGGAUGAUGUAGGCGGAAUGUGUAGUGUAGCGGUGAAAUGCAUAGAUAUUACACAGAACACCGAUUGCGAAGGCAGCUUACUAAUCCAUCAUUGACGCUGAGGCACGAAAGCGUUGGGAUCAAA
rnacentral:rRNA from 1 species